GCAGCGCGGCGCGUCCCGCCCGGCCGCCGCCCCAGCCCGCGCAGCCCCCUGUGCCUGGGAGCCAUGAGCCGCCGGAGCAGCCUCCCAGCCGCAGCCCCCCGGCACUCUUAGGCUGCCCUGCUCCCCUGGAAGGUGCUCAUCGCUGGCCAGGAGAACUGGCUGCACCUGCACCCAGCCUCCUGCAUCCCUCCCAAGGUUCCUUGUCUCACCAGCAGGUCCUUGUAGGAUUUCAGCUCUGGUAAGUGCAGUUGUGUUUUCUCCUCCCUGAGCCUGUUGCGAAAGUGUUGCAUGGGGUUGGAAGGGCACUGGGGCUGGGCACCACCACUGCUCCCCAGGCAGGGGGAAGAGCCUGAGUGUGCCCCUGUUAAGGAGCCAGUUCCUGCUGCUCUUCACCCCAGAAUUAUUUCCCCUGUGUGUGAAAAUGCUCUGAGAUAUGUCUGUCAGUGUCCUCCCAUAGUCCGUGAAGGGAAACAGUGUGGGCAUCUUUAAUCCUUCCUGGGUAAUCUUUGUUGGAUGGGAACUGAAACCCUUGGUGAUUGGCAUGAUGAUUGUAAUAAAAACUGGGAGGUAUUUCCACUGGCUGUGACUCAGGGGACCUUUGGAACAAUAAGAAGGUGAACUGAUGGGUGGAGGGAGAGCACAACCUGCCUGGGGACCUUUGCACAGGAGCCAGGCCUAGAGGAGCAUUUAGGACCUGAAAGAAAUGUGAAUGUCAGAAGCUGCAGUCCUGGCUGCAAGCUAGCAUUGUCACCUAUAACCUUUCCAGGGAUGUGCUCCUCUCAGGCCACCCUCUCUGCCACCAGCCACCCAGCCGACUCUCCUCAGGGACUAGUGGGUAGAAGGAUAACAUUUCUGGGCUUUCUCAGGCUCAAGUCCCUGUGCCAUUCAGUGUUUGAUGUUUUCACACUUGUAAAGUCCCCAUGGGUUUUCUAACCUUACCUUUAACCCAGCAGAAAGGGUCCUGGUUCUGUGCUGAGGUAAAUCAGCAGGGGUGUCUUGCAAUCAGCACUGCUGCCAUGUAUUGUGUCAUCUUAACCUUUGUCCUCUUGAUGUGUUUUUUUUUAAAAAAGUAUGCAUUUAUCCAAAAAAGCAUUCUCUUUCUUUGAUGCUAUCUGUUGGUUUGAAAAUUAAAUCCCAUGGAAGGCAUUGACAUCAGCCAUGUGCUCAAGGAUUUGCCACUGAUGUCCCAGGUUGCAUGGCCUCAUUGAACUUGAAGGGUUUUCUUUUCUUUAGCUGCAAAUGUCUCAUUGGGGCCUACAAUUAUUGAAGGGAGGAUUGUUAUGGUGAUCUCAGGGUUUUGGGGUGCUGCUGGCAUGACCUUGCUCUGAGACAGAGCUGUUCUAGAAUGGGGACACCGCUGUCUGGGGCAUAUGUAACCAUGGCAGGGGGCAAUGAAGGUCCCUGGUGCCUGGGGACCUGCCCUGAUGUCCUCUGCUUGUGCAUCCAUCUCACCCCAGGGCAUCGGGCAUGGUGUGAGCUUACCCCAAAAGCCAUUCCUCACUCCGAAAGUGUGCAGAGACUCCUCAUCCAUGAUGCUUUGCUCGUGACCUUGGCAGCCUCAGCAGGGAGCAGCUCAGGCCCUUGGGAGAGCUGUGCUAUGUUGAGGAAGCAGCACUGCCAGACUCCAGCACGUGGAGAAACUCCAGACAAUAGGCUGAUGAACCAAUCGAGAUUUUUCUGUGUCAGGGCUGUGUUACGUUGGGAAGUGAACAUACAGCUCUGUCUUCCCAGACAAUUCCUGCAGGAACAGCUCUGGCCACAAUCCCUCCAGCAGCAAAAAGCAAGUGUCUGUAGCUGCAGAGUGGGGACAGGCAAGACAGGACCCAUUGGUCCUCCAAAAAGGGGAGAAAGUGGAAAAUGGCUUGGAGGAGGGGGCAGUGGGGGAGAAGUGGCCAUGGUGGUAGAACUGCCUCUCCUGACACAACAUAAUCAGCUCAUGGCUUCUUCUCCCCAAUCCUCCUAUACCCCUCCCACUGCACAUCUCUCCCCAGACGUGGCCAUGUGUGUUUGCAGAGAUAAAAGCUCUCUUCCCACACAGGCUCUUCUUCCCCAGCAUCCUUAAUCAUGAGCCAAUGUGGCAAACAGCCUUCCUGAGAGAAGCCCUGGGCUUGGCUCUUCACUCUCCCUCCCUGCCUCCUGCCUUUUCCCUCGGCUCCCGCUCUGUCCCGCACCCCGGGGCUCCCCCACACCCCUGCAGCCUGCACAGCCAUCACGUGCCACUGAUAAACGAGCUUCAUCUGCACCCAAAAUUAAUCACAUUGUCAUGCUGGCAGGGGAUGAGGCAGCUGUGCCGAAAUGCCUGAAUCCCUGGCUAAUUUAUCACAGGGGCUGGAUGCAGAGCUGCUCCGCAGCUCCUGCCGCAUGGGGACAUGCUCCGGAGAGGCAGAUGGUGACAGGGAGCUGUGAGGCCUGGGAGUGAAUGCUCAGG